CGAGCACUCCGAACCUCAAGACACAACACAGAGGACCUUACCAGAGAUGCAGCCUCCAACUGCCUACCAUCCAUGGGAGAAGAAUUUGAAUGGCUUGCCAUGAUCCAUUCCUCUAGAGGGACGAAGGGUAAACCCGCAUUAGGAGUCCAGUUGGGGUGA
rnacentral:lncRNA from 1 species